rnacentral:lncRNA from 1 species
AUGCCAUCCAAGCUGAGGAAGACGAGUGAGGGGAAGGAGGAUGACAAGGUGGAGAGCGAUGGGAAAGACCUGCAAGUCAAGGGUGAGGAAGAGGAGGAGAAGAUGGACGACUCCCUGCUGAAAGCCAAGAGGACCAGGAAGAAGAAGCACAAGGAGAGGGUGAAGAUCAGGGAAGAGGUUAUUCCUCUCCGGGUUCUCUCCAAGUAAGAAACAUCAUGCAUCUUUAUGACUACUAGCUUACUCUUAGUCAAUCAGACCAACAGCAUUGAUGUAAUCUAAAUAAAUGCCUAAAUAACUUAGUCUAAAGCAUAGCAUCUUUAUUGAACAAUCCAUUACCCAAGUGACAAGAUAUCAUUUAGAAUCAAGCUCUUUCUUUUGUUCUCUCUCUCUCUCUCUCUCCUUUAUCUAUCUCUCCUUCUGGCUCUGGAUGGAAGGAAAGACUGGCUGAUCAGGAGUAUAUGACCCUGCAGAAGAGGAGCAUGGGAGUUCUGAAGACUUGCUUGACCAAGUUCCACUACAAGGGGGCAGGAGCAGGAGGGAAAAUGGAGAUGGACACCAGUCUGCAACAGACAUGUAAGUGCCAAAACUGAACAGAAAUAUAAACGCAACAUGUAAAGUGUUGGUCCCAACAUACAUGACGUUUCAUUUUUCUCAAAAAUUGUGCACAAAUGUGUUGACAUCCCUGUUAGUGAGCAAUUGUCCUUUGCCAUGGUAGUGUGGGCAAGCGGUUUGCUAACGUCAAUGUUGUGAACAGAGUGCCCCAUGGUGGCGGUGGGGUUAUGGUAUGGGCAGGCAUAAACUACGGACAAUGAACACAAUACCGUGCCGAGAUCCUGAGGCCCAUUGUCGUGCCAUUCAUCUGCCA